rnacentral:misc_RNA from 1 species
GAUUUUCAGUUUUUCAACACACAAAGAUUGAGUGAAUUGUAUGAAAAAGAAGUACGCUACCUCAUGCAAACGCAUCAAAAGAAUCAGUUGAAAGACACAAUUGAUGUUGAUGAACCUGAAGAGGGUGGAGAACCUUUGACUGCUGAAGAAUUGGAAGAAAAGGAACGACUAUUGGAAGAGGGUUUUUCUUCAUGGAGUAGAAGAGACUUCAAUACCUUUAU